rnacentral:sRNA from 1 species
GCCAGGCACUGUGGCACAUGCCUAUAAUCCCAGCAGCUUGGGAGGCUGAGGCAGGAGGAUUGCAAGUUCAAAGCAAGCCUCAGCAACUUAGUGAGACCCUGUCUCAU